rnacentral:rRNA from 1 species
AUGGCGGCUGAAGGCGGUGGCGUCCGGGCGCUGUCCCAGCGCGAGCAGGACAUCCAGAUGAUGCUCGCCGCCGACGUCCACCUCGGCACCAAGAACUGCGACUUCCAGAUGGAGCGCUACGUCUACAAGCGCCGCACUGACGGCAUUUACAUCAUCAACCUUGGCAAGACCUGGGAGAAGCUUCAGAUGGCCGCAAGGGUCAUUGUUGCCAUUGAAAACCCUCAGGAUAUCAUUGUGCAAUCUGCUAGGCCCUAUGGACAGAGGGCUGUCCUCAAGUUUGCCCAGUACACUGGUGCUAACGCCAUUGCUGGAAGGCACACUCCUGGUACAUUCACCAACCAGAUGCAGACUUCAUUCAGUGAGCCACGCCUUCUUAUCCUGACCGACCCCAGGACUGAUCACCAGCCUAUCAAGGAGUCUGCACUUGGAAACAUCCCCACCAUUGCCUUCUGCGACACUGACUCUCCUAUGCGUUACGUUGAUAUUGGCAUUCCUGCUAACAACAAGGGGAAGCAGAGCAUUGGUUGCCUAUUUUGGCUGCUCGCCAGGAUGGUUCUGCAGAUGCGUGGUACCAUUCUCCCAGGACACAAGUGGGAAAUCAUGGUUGAUCUGUUCUUCUACAGGGACCCAGAGGAAGCUAAGGAGCUUGAGGAAGAUGAGGCUUUGGGUGCUCCUGAGUACGCUGCAGUUGCAGAGUACACUGCCCCAGCGGGAGAUACCUGGGGUGCUGAAUGGCCAGGAGCUGCAGCUCCAGCUGCUGCCGUCGAAGCCCCGGCUGGUGCUGAGUGGACUGGUGCUCCAGCUCCUGCGGCCGAUGGAUGGGAUGCCGUUGCAGCACCUGCCCCUACUGGCUGGGAACAGGGCAGUGCUCCGGCACCUGCAGCAGCACCAGCUGCUACUCAGAACUGGGAGUGA